rnacentral:snoRNA from 1 species
UGUAUCACUGAUGAUAAUUUGGCUCCCUCUACUGAAUUCCCCUGAGGAGAAUGCCACUGUUACCCAAUUUCUGUCUGAGAUGUG